rnacentral:rRNA from 1 species
GACGAACGCUGGCGGCGUGCUUAACACAUGCAAGUCGAACGAAGUGGCGAACGGGUGAGUAACGCGUAAUCAACCUGCCCUUCAGAGGGGGACAACAGUUGGAAACGACUGCUAAUACCACAUACGGAAGGACGGGAUUGCGUCUGAUUAGCUCGUCGGAGGGGUAACGGCCAACCAAGGCGAUGAUCAGUAGCCGGGCUGGGAGGAUGAACGGCCACAUUGGGACUGAGACACGGCCCAGACGCCUACGGGAGGCAGCAGUGGGGAAUCUUCCGCAAUGGACGAAAGUCUGACGGAGCAACGGCGCGUGAGUGAUUACGGCCUUCGGGUUGUAAAGCUCUGUUAAUCGGGACGCGGUACCGGAAUAGAAAGCCACGGCUAACUACGUGCCAGCAGCCGCGGUAAUUC